rnacentral:rRNA from 1 species
UACAGAGGUCUCGAGCGUUGUUCGGAUUCAUUGGGGCGUAAAGGGCGCGUAGGCGGCGGGGUAAGUCUGGUGUGAAAUCUCGGAGCUCAACUCCGAAAUUGCACUGGAUACUGCUCUGCUAGAGGGCUGGAGAGGAGAUCGGAAUUCACGGUGUAGCAGUGAAAUGCGUAGAUAUCGUGAGGAAGACCAGUGGCGAAGGCGGAUCUCUGGACAGCUCCUGGACGCUGAGGCGCGAAGGCUAGGGGAGCAAACGGG